CCCUUAGAUGUUCUGGGCUGCACGCGUGCUACACUGAUUACUUCAACAAGUGUUUUAACUGGAGAGUUCGCGUAAUCCUGAAAUGUUAUCGUGAUGGGAGUAGAGUAUUGUAUUUGUUAAUCUUUAACGAGGAAUUCCUAGUAAGUGUAGGUUUAUAAGUUGUUCUGAUUACGUCCCUGCCCUUUGUACACACCGCCCGUCGCUCCUACCGAUUGAUUGAUCCGGUGAAUUACAUAGAAUUUUGCGUUUUACAUGACGGAAGAUGGAGUGUUUUAAACCUUAUCAUUUAGAGGAAGGAGAAGUCGUAACA
rnacentral:rRNA from 1 species